GAUGAACGCUGGCGGCGUGCCUAAUACAUGCAAGUCGAGCGAACGGACGAGAAGCUUGCUUCUCUGAUGUUAGCGGCGGACGGGUGAGUAACACGUGGAUAACCUACCUAUAAAACUGGGAUCACUUCGGGAAACCGGAGCUAAUACCGGAUAAUAUUUUGAACCGCAUGGUUCAAAAGUGAAAGACGGUCUUGCUGUCACUUAUAGAUGGAUCUGCGCUGCAUUAGCUAGUUGGUAAGGUAACGGCCUAUCAAGGCAACUAUGCAUAGCCGACCUGAUAGGGUGGUCGGCCACCCGGGAGCUGGGACACGGACCAGGCUCCUACGGGAGGCAGCAGUAGGCAAUCUUCCGCAGUGGGCGAGAGCCUGACGGAGCAGCGCCGCGUGAGUGAUGACGGUCUUCGGAUCGUAAAACUCUGUUAUUAGGGAAGAACCUAUGUGUAAGUAACUGUGCACAGCGUGACGGUAACUAGUCAGAAAGCCCCGGCUAACUACGUG
rnacentral:rRNA from 1 species